UGUGGCUGAGGACAAGGGAGCAUAGCUGACUGAGGUGCAGUGGGUUGUGGCUGAGGACAAGUGAGCGUAGCUGACUGAGGUCCAGUGGGUUGUGGCUGAGGACAAGGGAGCGUAGCUGACUGAGGUCCAGUGGGUUGUGGCUGAGGACAAGGGAGCGUAGCUGACUGAGGUGCAGUGGGUUGUGGCUGAGGACAAGGGAGCGUAGCUGACUGAGGUCCAGUGGGUUGUGGCUGAGGACAAGGGAGCGUAGCUGACUGAGGUGCAGUGGGUUGUGGCUGAGGACAAGGGAGCGUAGCUGACUGAGGUCCAGUGGGUUGUGGCUGAGGACAAGGGAGCGUAGCUGACUGAGGUCCAGUGGGUUGUGGCUGAGGACAAGGGAGCGUAGCUGACUGAGGUCCAGUGGGUUGUGGCUGAGGACAAGGGAGCGUAGCUGACUGAGGUCCAGUGGGUUGUGGCUGAGGACAAGGGAGCGUAGCUGACUGAGGUCCAGUGGGUUGUGGCUGAGGACAAGGGAGCGUAGCUGCGCCGUAGUAGGCAUCCCAGUUCCUGGCACACGGUGCCCAGCCGCUUGUGGUUAAAGUGGAUAACAGGCUGGCGUGUUUGGAGAUGUCAGGCAGGAUAUGUUGGAGCUAGAUCCUGUCCAAGUGGACCAGGUGGGCAGGGCGAUAGCCUGGCUGAGGACA